AGCGAACGCUGGCGGCAGGCCUAACACAUGCAAGUCGAACGAAGUCUUCGGACUUAGUGGCGGACGGGUGAGUAACACGUGGGAACGUGCCUAUAGGUUCGGAAUAACUCAGGGAAAGUUGUGCUAAUACCGAAUGUGCCCUUCGGGGGAAAGAUUUAUCGCCUUUAGAGCGGCCCGAGUCUGAUUAGCUAGUUGGUAAGGUAAAGGCUCACCAAGGCGACGAUCAGUAGAUGGUCUGAGAGGAUGAUCAGCCACAUUGGGACUGAGACACGGCCCAAACUCCUACGGGAGGCAGCAGUGGGGAAUCUUGCGCAAUGGGCGAAAGCCUGACGCAGCCAUGCCGCGUGAAUGAUGAAGGUCGUAAGAUUGUAAAAUUCUUUCACCGGGGACGAUAAUGACGGUACCCGGAGAAGAAGCCCCGGCUAACUUCGUGCCAGCCGCCGCGGUAACAC
rnacentral:rRNA from 1 species